rnacentral:rRNA from 1 species
GACGAACGCUGGCGGCGUGCUUAACACAUGCAAGUCGAACGCUGAAGCUUGGUGCUUGCACUGGGUGGAUGAGUGGCGAACGGGUGAGUAAUACGUGAGUAACCUGCCCUUGACUCUGGGAUAAGCCUGGGAAACUGGGUCUAAUACUGGAUACGACAUGUCACCGCAUGGUGGUGUGUGGAAAGGGUUUUACUGGUUUUGGAUGGGCUCACGGCCUAUCAGCUUGUUGGUGGGGUAAUGGCUCACCAAGGCGACGACGGGUAGCCGGCCUGAGAGGGUGACCGGCCACACUGGGACUGAGACACGGCCCAGACUCCUACGGGAGGCAGCAGUGGGGAGUAUUGCACAAUGGGCGGAAGCCUGAUGCAGCGACGCCGCGUGAGGGAUGACGGCCUUCGGGUUGUAAACCUCUUUCAGCACGGAAGAAGCGAAAGUGACGGUACGUGCAGAAGAAGCGCCGGCUAACUACGUG